AAUACUGCUUUUAUACUCAUAGGCUCCGUUUAGUUGGGGGAUAAGCCGGGAUAACGAAAGUUAUACCCGCUAUUCCGCCAAACGGGAUGAAAUUUGGUCGGGAUAUUUUAUUCCAGUCAAACCUUGCUAUUUCCGGUUAUCCCAGAAUAGCAAGGGAUUUGCUAUUCCACCAUUUUAGUGGAAUAGCACUAUUCCAAUACUUAAUUUCAAACUUAAUUAAAAUUAUAAAUUGAAUUAAAACUAAAUUAUAUAAAUAUAAUAUGUUAUAUAUUAUAAUACAUUAUUUUUAUUAUAAAAUUAUUAAUUGUACUAUAUUAAUAAUUAUUAUUUAUAUUUAAAUAUUAUAAUAAAAUUUAUAGUAAAUUAUAUUUAAAUAUUAUAAUAAAUUAUUUUUAUUAAAUUUAAGUUUAAGUAGAAUUUUAAAAAAAUUUAUAAAUUUAUUAUAAUAAACUGUUUUUAUUAAUUGUUCCCACCCCUAUUCUUAUUUUUAAAAUUAAAAAAUUAAAAAAUUAAAAUUUUAAAAUUUAUAAUUUAUAAUCUCAAAAUUAAAGUUUAUAACUUAAAAUUUAAAUUCAAUGAUUUUUAAAAUUUAUGAAUUCUCAUAAAUUCAU
rnacentral:lncRNA from 1 species